UGGGGAAUAUUGGACAAUGGGCGCAAGCCUGAUCCAGCCAUGCCGCGUGUGUGAAGAAGGCCUUCGGGUUGUAAAGCACUUUUGUCCGGAAAGAAAUCCUGUCGGCUAAUACCCGGCGGGGAUGACGGUACCGGAAGAAUAAGCACCGGCUAACUUCGUGCCAGCAGCCGCGGUAAUACGAAGGGUGCAAGCGUUACUCGGAAUUACUGGGCGUAAAGCGUGCGUAGGUGGUUUGUUAAGUCUGAUGUGAAAGCCCUGGGCUCAACCUGGGAACUGCGUUGGAUACUGGCUUACUAGAGUGCGGUAGAGGGUGGCGGAAUUCCCGGUGUAGCAGUGAAAUGCGUAGAUAUCGGGAGGAACAUCCGUGGCGAAGGCGGCCACCUGGACCAGCACUGACACUGAGGCACGAAAGCGUGGGGAGCAAAACAGGAUUAGAUACCCUGGUAGUCCACGCCCUAAACGAUGCGAACUGGAUGUUGGGAGCAACUAGGCUCUCAGUAUCGAAGCUAACGCGUUAAGUUCGCCGCCUGGGAAGUACGGUCGCAAGACUGAAACUCAAAGGAAUUGACGGGGUCAUAGCUGUUUCCU
rnacentral:rRNA from 1 species